CCCAGACUCCUACGGGAGGCAGCAGUGGGGGAUAUUGCACAAUGGGGGGAACCCUGAUGCAGCGACGCCGCGUGGGUGAAGAAGUAUUUCGGUAUGUAAAGCCCUAUCGGCAGGGAAGAAAUUGGACGGUACCUGACUAGGAAGCCCUGGCUAACUACGUGCCAGCAGCCGCGGUAAUACGUAGGGGGCAAGCGUUAUCCGGAUUCACUGGGUGUAAAGGGAGCGUAGACGGCCAUGCAAGCCUGGAGUGAAAGCCCGGGGCCCAACCCCGGGACUGCUCUGGGAACUGUGCGGCUGGAGUGCGGGAGGGGCAGGCGGAAUUCCUGGUGUAGCGGUGAAAUGCGUAGAUAUCAGGAGGAACACCGGUGGCGAAGGCGGCCUGCUGGACUGCAACUGACGUUGAGGCCCGAAAGCGUGGGGAGCAAACAGGAUUAGAUACCCCAGUACU
rnacentral:rRNA from 1 species